rnacentral:rRNA from 1 species
AGGGUUCGAUUCUGGCUCAGGAUGAACGCUGGCGGCGUGCCUAAUACAUGCAAGUCGUACGAGGGAAGUCCAGCUUGCUGGACGGAACGAGUGGCGAACGGGUGAGUAAUACGUAAGCAACCUGCCUGCAAGGACUGGGAUAACACCUGGAAACGGGCGCUAAUACCGGAUAGGUAACAAAGGGGCAUCCCUAUGUUAUUAAAGGUUAGAAACACAAGCAGAUGGGCUUACGGUGCAUUAGCUAGUUGGUGAGGUAACGGCCCACCAAGGCGAUGAUGCAUAGCCGGCCUGAGAGGGUGAACGGCCACAUUGGGACUGAGACACGGCCCAGACUCCUACGGGAGGCAGCAGUGGGGAAUAUUGGGCAAUGGGGGGAACCCUUGACCCAGCAACGCCGCGUGAGGGAAGAAGGUCUUCGGAUCGUAAACCUCUGUCCUAAGGGAAGAGCAGAAGACUGUACCUUAGGAGGAAGCCCCGGCUAACUACGUGCCAGCCGCUGC